AGUGAACGCUGGCGGCAGGCCUAACACAUGCAAGUCGAACGGCAGCACGGCAGUAGCAAUACUGUGGGUGGCGAGUGGCGGACGGGUGAGGAAUACAUCGGGAUCUACCCUGUUGUGGGGGAUAACGUAGGGAAACUUACGCUAAUACCGCAUAAGAACUGAGGUUGAAAGCGGCGGACCGCAAGGCGUCGCGCGAUUGGAUGAACCGAUGUCCGAUUAGCUAGUUGGCGGGGUAAAGGCCCACCAAGGCGACGAUCGGUAGCUGGUCUGAGAGGACGACCAGCCACACUGGAACUGAGACACGGUCCAGACUCCUACGGGAGGCAGCAGUGGGGAAUAUUGCGCAAUGGGGGAAACCCUGACGCAGCCACGCCGCGUGAGUGAUGAAGGCCUUCGGGUUGUAAAGCUCUGUCGGGAGGGACGAAGGGGAAACCCUGACGGUACCUCGCAAGAAAGCACCGGCUAACUCUGUGCCAGCAGCCGCGGUAAU
rnacentral:rRNA from 1 species